AUUCCUACCAAAAGGUCUAUCCUCCACCACAUACUCCCAAACCUAUAUUCUAAACUAAACUAUUUCCUGACAAU
rnacentral:tRNA from 1 species